rnacentral:sRNA from 1 species
GAACAAGAAGGGGAUCUGGCUGAAACAUCUGAGGCUUCAUCUAGGAUCAGGGCUCACUGCACUCUUCAGCCUACUUAAGCAGGUGGAUCCAUCCUUCCUCAUUGCUUCAAGUGUGUCCCUCCAGUGCUUGGACAUGAAGGCUGGCCUUCUCUGUGGAAGGAGGCCACUUUUCAGCCAAGGGUAACUGGGCAUCGGAAGAUGCUAAACAAGCCUUGAGGUCUCA